GCUUGGUUCAUCUGGACAUGCUCAGCUUACAUGAUGUUCAACCUGGGGGCCCAUGGCAACUGAAAAACAACUCACAACUUUGUUACAGAAGAGAUGAACCAGAUUGGUCUGACGUGGUUAAAACAGCAGCUUUAGCUGUGAUUGAAAACUGGAACUAAUUUAUGUGUCUGUCAGCAGAUGAAUGGAUAAGCAAAUUGUGGUAUAUCUAUAGAAUGGAAUAAUACUCAGUAAUGAAAAGGAAUGGAC
rnacentral:lncRNA from 1 species